rnacentral:rRNA from 1 species
UACGUAGGGUGCGAGCGUUGUCCGGAAUUACUGGGCGUAAAGAGCUCGUAGGUGGUUUGUCGCGUUGUUCGUGAAAACUCACAGCUCAACUGUGGGCGUGCGGGCGAUACGGGCAGACUGGAGUACUGCAGGGGAGACUGGAAUUCCUGGUGUAGCGGUGGAAGUGCGCAGAUAUCAGGAGGAACACCGGUGGCGAAGGCGGGUCUCUGGGCAGUAACUGACGCUGAGGAGCGAAAAGCGUGGGGGAGCGAACAGG